rnacentral:rRNA from 1 species
AGAGUUUGAUCCUGGCUCAGGAUGAACGCUAGCGGCAGGCCUAAUACAUGCAAGUCGAACGGAUAUAGAGACUUCGGUUUCUAUAUUAGUGGCGCACGGGUGCGUAACGCGUAUGCAACCUACCUUUUAUUGGGGGAUAGCCCGAAGAAAUUCGGAUUAAUACCGCAUAAUAUCCUUUGAGGGCAUCUGAAGAGGAUUAAAGCUGAGGCGAUAAAAGAUGGGCAUGCGUGUCAUUAGCUAGUUGGUGUAGGUAACGGCUCACCAAGGCGACGAUGACUAGGGGUUCUGAGAGGAUGAUCCCCCACACUGGUACUGAGAUACGGACCAGACUCCUACGGGAGGCAGCAGUAGGGAAUAUUGGGCAAUGGGCGAGAGCCUGACCCAGCCAUGCCGCGUGCAGGAUGAAGGCCUUCUGGGUUGUAAACUGCUUUUACCAGGGAAGAAAAUACCUUUGCGAAGGGAACUGACGGUACCUGGUGAAUAAGCACCGGCUAACUCCGUGCCAGCAGCCGCGGUAAUACGGAGGGUGCAAGCGUUGUCCGGAUUUAUUGGGUUUAAAGGGUGCGUAGGCGGCUUGAUAAGUCCGUGGUGAAAGCCAACAGCUCAACUGUUGAACUGCCAUGGAUACUGUCAAGCUUGAGUACAGACGAGGUAGGCGGAAUGGAUCGUGUAGCGGUGAAAUGCAUAGAUACGAUCCAGAACUCCGAUUGCGAAGGCAGCUUACUAGGCUGUAACUGACGCUGAGGCACGAAAGCGUGGGGAGCGAACAGGAUUAGAUACCCCCGUAGUCC